GGGGAUGUUUUGGCUUCGACGGGGGUAAGUGAGGUUUGGUAAGCGGGCCGAGGGAAGCAUGGUGCCUCGUUAAUAAAGUAUGCAUUAAAGAUAAACGCAGAAGACAAUAAUUUUGCAUUAGCAGCUUAAUAAACGCUGCUCAUCAGCCUUAGAUUGCCCACGGUCUAAGAUCCUGGUGUCAUUUUAAAGUGGGGAACCGAGCUUAGCAAAGCUUUGAGCUAAGAACGGAAUUUAUGAAGCUAGCGAGUGGUAUGUGUGUCUAUACAUGUCACCAUGAGCGAAACUUAAAUUAUAGACUACGCUCGUAGAAAGCUAGACGGAUCUACUUUCGGACACGGGUUCGACACCCGUCAUCUCCACCA
rnacentral:tmRNA from 1 species